rnacentral:rRNA from 1 species
UACGAAGGGGGCUAGCGUUGUUCGGAAUCACUGGGCGUAAAGCGCACGUAGGCUGAUUGGUCAGUUGGGGGUGAAAUCCCGGGGCUCAACCUCGGAACUGCCUUCAAUACUGCCAGUCUUGAGUCCGAGAGAGGUGAGUGGAAUUCCUAGUGUAGAGGUGAAAUUCGUAGAUAUUAGGAAGAACACCAGUGGCGAAGGCGGCUCACAGGCUCGGUACUGACGAUGAGGUGCGAAAGCGUGGGGAGCAAACAGG